AAUAUGGUCUAUUAAUAUUGAUUAAUUAUAUAUAUAUUAUAAUUUCAUAUAAAAAUAAUUUGUUUAUCUAUGGUUUCAGUAUUCAGUAUUUGUUUGGAAUUUUUAUCAUGAUAAACAACGCGGAUACUGUCUGGUGAAUAUCUUAUUGUACAUAUUUGAAUAAUGUCAUAUCAAGAGAAAUAAUCUAUAAUAUAUGCCAUGGCUACACGACUGAAGGUCCCUGGAUCGAUCUCGGUUGGGAGCAUUGAAAAUUUGGACAUUAGAAAGGUAUACGAUGAAGCUAAUUUAUGAAGGGGGGAGUAAAGAAAACGUCGUAAUUGAUAGGAAUGAAAUAAAGUAAAGCAUGUCAUGAAAACUUAUAUAGUCAACCAAUUUGCAAUCAAUUCUUCAUAAAAUAUGUUGUCAUAUUUCGUUUUGUAAUUUAUUUGAUAUAAUUAAUGCCGUCUUCGUAUAUCUUUGAACCCUUCGCCAUGGAAUCGUCCAUUUAUUACAAUCAGUUGUGAAUUGUCGCCAUAUUGAAUGGAUGCGAUUUUGAUAGCUCCGCUAAAACAAUUAAAAAUUCCACGCGACAAUAUAGUUUAUUAAUAUUGAUAAUUAUAUAUAUAUAUUAUGUUUUCAUAUAAAAUGAUUUGUU